rnacentral:rRNA from 1 species
AGUGAACGCUGGCGGUAGGCCUAACACAUGCAAGUCGAACGGCAGCACAGUAAGAGCUUGCUCUUACGGGUGGCGAGUGGCGGACGGGUGAGGAAUACAUCGGAAUCUACUUUUUCGUGGGGGAUAACGUGGGGAAACUUACGCUAAUACCGCAUACGACCUACGGGUGAAAGCAGGGGAUCUUCGGACCUUGCGCGAUUGAAUGAGCCGAUGUCGGAUUAGCUAGUUGGCGGGGUAAAGGCCCACCAAGGCGACGCUCCGUAGCUGGUCUGAGAGGAUGAUCAGCCACACUGGAACUGAGACACGGUCCAGACUCCUACGGGAGGCAGCAGUGGGGAAUAUUGGACAAUGGGCGCAAGCCUGAUCCAGCCAUACCGCGUGGGUGAAGAAGGCCUUCGGGUUGUAAAGCCCUUUUGUUGGGAAAGAAAAGCAGCAGGUUAAUACCCCGCUGUUCUGACGGUACCCAAAGAAUAAGCACCGGCUAACUUCGUG